rnacentral:sRNA from 1 species
GCCUAGCCCCGAUAGAAGUGGAAAUCCUUUUGUGGCGGGGUUCGCCACAAAAGAUUGUAACGGAUAGCGGGAUUAGCU